GAAAUAUCAAUCCUCUGGGUUUUUUCCUGGUUGAUUGGACAUGGGUGCUGCCUUUGUUGGCUCACCUUAAAAGCGUUAGUGGGUUAAUCCUCUGGCAUGGACGUAAUAAGUUUCGUCUGUCCGUUGGACUGUGCUCGCUCCCAACCCCCCAUAUUUUUAUCUCUGACCUCAAAUCAGGUAGGGCUACCCGCUGAACUUAA
rnacentral:misc_RNA from 1 species